rnacentral:lncRNA from 1 species
AAGGGCGAGCCUUUGAGAAAGUUGUAAUUCCGGGAAGCCACUGUGUGUUUUGCUUUAGGAACCUGCAGGAAAAGUGCACCACUCCCUUGGUUGCUGUCUUCUAGGAAGCAUUAGAUACCUACCUGGCUCGUUGCUGUUAGUGCAGUAUAGAGUAACGGGCAGCCAUGGAGGCGGCAAGCUGUGCCUCUGAGCUGACCAAGAUGGCAAACAAGCUACAAUGAGCUACUUCAGAGUCCUCCUUCAGCAGGGGUGGCUGUGGAUCAACAGUUCUGCCAAGAGGCUCUCUAGGCAGCGCUGAGAACCGCUACAUGUGGCAUGGGCUUAAAACUGCAGCUGCCUGCCUGGGUGGGGCGCCUGCAACCCUGGGUGUAGCAAUAUGAGCGCCCCAAAAGAAGGAAACAUGAGGCCAGCCCCAGAGUCGCUGUAAGCUCCAACUGCCAAGCUGAAGAAAGACAUUUAGGACGGCCAGCUUUGUAGACUUAAACAAGAAGCCUGUGGCUUCACCCCAUAGAGUCCCUUUCCCUUUAAGAAGACUCAAGGCUCUUUUCCUUGCCUUUGGCCUUGGCUCUCAGGAUUCUGACAGCUGGAAACUUCUGAAUAGGUAUUAAAACAAAAAGCCAACAGGGCACAUAGCCCUCAGUGUUUCUAAAACAGGGAUACAGAGCCUGGAGAGGUCUGUACAUAGGUAGAGAAGGUUCAAGUUGGAAAAAACAAACAAAGCUAUCUUUUUCUUCCCCUCCUGUUUGCCUAGUCCCCCCCCCCAAUUUAAAACUAGAGAUGACCAAGUACUAACUGACAGACAGACAGACAGACAGAGACAACGCCUAUUGUCACAUAGGUAGACACGCCUUUGUAAAUGUUUGCUCUCCUCAAGUAUCACUAAAACAUUCGAGUCUGGUCUUGAGAGAAAGAGCAAGUCACAUACAUUUUGAAAAUGGGAGUGUUGCCUUUUCCUUGGCUGGCUUUGCCAACCCUCACCAGGCAGUUUUGAAGCUGGCUAUGUAGACUCUAAGUAGUCGGCCUGAGUCCAGUCAGCGUUCCUCCCUGGGGCCCUGGUAAUUCAGAGACAGUCAUAUUGGAGGCCACACACACCAGCAGAAUCAUGGUCCUUCGCUAGUGUAAAGAGGCAGGUGUUGUCCUUUAAGGAAGCCCCCCUCGCCCCCCCCCCACCAUCAUACAACGUGGUAAAGUCAGUCAACUGAAACCUUCCGAGGCUUUGAUUUGCUGCCACCCCUCAUGAAUAGUGUUCCAGGUUUGCAGUUAUUGGAUCAGAACAGCACUCUUCACAUAGCCACAUCAUAGACGUUUUUAGGGAUCCCUGCUCUCCUAAAUUGCUCCCCGAGUCAGUAAUUCCCCCAUCCCAGCUACCCCAAAAAAGCUGUGAUUAGGGAUGAAAUUGGGGGGCAUGGUGGGUGGCUCUAUGAAAUUCAUUUUUCUAAGUCAUUUACCUAAGUAGAUAUGCGUGGGCAUUCCAUUUCUGGGUUCUCUACUCUCUCCAGGAUAUUUGAGAGCUUUCCUUUUAGAGGCCUUGGAGCUCUGUGAUGCACAUGCAGGGUUUAUACAAAAACUCCCAUUUGAGGCUGGGGGCUAUGGAAAGAAUAUGUAUUCUUUGGAAGAAGCAUGAGAGAACAGUAAGGAUACUGAGGUUCUAUCGAGUGGGACAGAUGGAGAGGCAGUUCUCUGAAAGCAAAAAUGGCGGCACACAGGGCUAGGGGCUUCUUUCAUGCUCCUUCAGCUCCUGCCUUUCCAUGUGCACAUUCUUGAUUGGCUGGAGCAGUGUGAGGCUGAAGCCCCAAGCUCUUGACAACAUUCUGCAGAACAACUUGGAUCUAAGUAAGUCCUGGCAAUAACCCAGCCUACAGAGGCUGUUAGGAGCCUUUCCAGUCAGUUUCCCCUCACCUUGCUCGCUCCCAUCCUUUUAUAAGUACUGCUGAUGGUCUCUACUAAAAGCCAGGGUUCCCAGAGAUUUUAAAGCAGGUAUAUAUAUAUAUAAUAUGUGUGUGUGUGUGUGUAUAGAUACAUACACACACACAUGUAUGGGAAUGCCCUGGGUUUAUCUGCCAAGUUAAGAGUCUAGGACUCCUCUGUGGUCACUGUCAGUUCCUCUAAGACUUAUUCUCAGUGGUAAAGUUGCAUCUUAGUUUUCCUGGCAGCACAUCUCUGGGUCAGGUCUCGUCAGCACUCAAGGUACAGUGCCACCCGGCUCACCCACCGAACACAGUCUUGUAGAUACAUCUUAUCAUCAUCUACAAAGAUAGCAUUGGGUACUGUCUCAUUCCCUCUAUGUAUACAUGAAGAUGUGACAUGCCCAAAGCCACACAAUGAGUGAGCAAAUCGCUGUCUGUACUUGUUGUUCUGGCCGGGAAAGCAUUCCUCAUGGAGCCCUGUAGGGGGCGUGCUCCCACCUCAAGGAGCAACAGUAUAAGAGGCGUGGCCUGGGGUCCACAACAGCCACAGUUGAGCAGGAUGCCAGCAGGUUGGCAGUUACAGCUGCAGAAAAUGUAGUUUUUCACCCCCUUCCCAGAUGGAAAUGUCACUUAGCUGCUUUUAAGCAGACUUUCCCAUGUUGAUGUUUAAGUGACUCAGCAGCCCUCGGCGCUGGAGACUGUCUAAGCAUCAUUGGCUGUCUUGGACUUGGUUGUGGGGCAUAGGAAGAAGACACCCAAGGGAGGAACACAAUGGCCAUGGCCACCCACUUCUUUAGAUUCAGGGUUGGGGAGCCCAUUUUUCCUGAUUUGCAGUUUGUAACUGACGUCUUGUACCUUCAGGGCUACCACACAGGGAAGGGAGGCUCAUCCAGGCCAUUAAGCUGCCUAGCUGAUGAGCUCAGACCUGCACUGCACCGGACAGUAUUCGCUGAGCUGUCACAGGAAGACCCGUAUUUUACAGAUGUGUUAUGUGUUAGGGAUAGAACCCCUAGCUCUGUGCAUGGCAGGCAAGCUCUCUACCGCUCAGCCAUACCUCCAACCUCAAUUAAAUCUUGAAAGUAUUCAGAAAACCUUGUGACAACAACAAAAGGGCAAUCUCUAAUUAUGCAUCUCUGGAGGCUAGGGGACAGAGAGCCAGGUAUUCACCCUGAGAAGAACGCAAGGCCCACUCUACUCAUAGGCUAUUGUCCUAUUGCUGGAUGUGAACUUUCACUCUGACUAGCCUGUGACUCUGGCUCCAUUCACUGGUGAUUUCUUUUGCCCACCAAAACCCCGGAUCUUGCAGGACAGGAUGACACUGGGGAACUAAGUACCUGUCAGACAAUCCUAUUUGUUUCCUUUGGGCAAGGGAGGUGUCAGAAGUCUGAAGUAUGGCUCCAGAGCCAUCCCCAGCACUUGUAUUCUGCUAGCUCACUCCGGUCAGCGUCCAGCAGGUGGGUUACGCUCUGCAUUUAGCUGGGGCUUCUAGAACUUCUCUGCAGUGAUGUGGUUUCCUCAGAGUUUAUCAGUCUGAGUGAUUGCAUUAGUACAAAGAAGCUAGCAGACCCAACUGGCCUUUUCUCCCCUGCAUCAGGGUCCUUAUCUGCUGGAGCCCUUAAGAGGGCCACUGAAGCCUCUGGCUCUCUUCCAGGCGACUGACGCAUUGCACUACUGAGUUCCCUGAAGUCUGCUGCAGCCCCUUGUUUACGCCAGCAGAGAACAGAGUGAUAAGAACAACAUUCGAGUGGACACGCUUGACGCUUAGUGCAGCGUUCAAACCUUGCCUGGACCUGGAAAUUGUCAGGGCCAUAGAGUCCCCUGUCACUGUGUGUCUCCUGUGCCCUGCCCAGCUCUCUGCUGUCCCCUGCAGCCACCACAAGGGCUAGGCUGUCCAAUGAGCCCCAUAGCUUCUAAGAAAUGCAGUGGCUUAUUUGUAGUACUCCGUGACAUCCCAGGUGAAGAAGCAAAAGCCUAUGAUCUGAUCUGAUCUCCUUUAUUCUGCCCUGUCCCUGGUUUAGGGGAGGGAGAACCUUCUAGCAACUACGGCUUUGUUUGCUGCCUGGUGCUUUUAUAGUCUGUCAUUUUUUUUUCAUUUCCUUUUUUUAAAAAAAAAAAAAAAAAAACACAAACCAAAAUUGCAUUGGUUUGGUUGUCAUUGUCUAGUCUAUAUUUAUUGUUUUACAAACAUGGGUGUAUAUGUAUGUAUAUGUAUAAAAACCAAACUUAUAUAUAUAAAAAGUCAAGGCAUGUAUACUAGAUAUUUUAAAGUUAUUUAUCAAAGGGAAAAGAUGUGUGUUAUAAAGUAAAACAGAGUCUAUAUUUUAUAUAUAAUGUAGAUAGUAAAAAAAAUAGCUUAUAAAUUAUAGAAGGUUUUACUUUUUGUUUUCUAUUAUU